UACAGAGGUGGCAAGCGUUGUUCGGAAUUACUGGGCGUAAAGGGCGCGUAGGCGGUUCGGUAAGUCCCGUGUGAAAUCCCUCGGCUCAACUGAGGAACUGCACGGGAGACUGCCGGGCUUGAGUUCGGGAGAGGGAAGCGGAAUUCCGGGUGUAGCGGUGAAAUCCGUAGAUAUCAGGAGGAACACCAGUGGCGAAGGCGACUCGCUGGACAAGUAUUGACGCUGAGGUGCGAAAGCGUGGGGAGCAAACAGGG
rnacentral:rRNA from 1 species